rnacentral:rRNA from 1 species
GAUGAACGCUGGCGGCGUGCCUAAUACAUGCAAGUCGAGCGGUAAGGCCCUUCGGGGUACACGAGCGGCGGACGGCUGAGUAACACGUAGGAACCUACCCCAAACGGAGGGAUAAGCACCAGAAAUGGUGUCUAAUACCGCAUGUGCUCUACGGAGUAAAGCUUCGGCGGUUUGGGAAGGGCCUGCGUCCGAUUAGCUAGUUGGUGGUAUAAAAGACUACCAAGGCGACGAUCGGUAGCUGGUCUGAGAGGAUGAUCAGCCAGACUGGGACUGAGACACGGCCCAGACUCCUACGGGAGGCAGCAGUAGGGAAUUUUCCACAAUGGGCGAAAGCCUGAUGGAGCAACGCCGCGUGCAGGAUGAAUGCCUUCGGGUUGUAAACUACUUUUAUCUGUGACGAAUAUGACGGUAGCAGAUGAAUAAGGACCUGCUAACUACGUGCCAGCCGCCGCGGUAA